rnacentral:misc_RNA from 1 species
GGAUGAAGAACGUAGCGAAAUGCGAUAAGUAAUGUGAAUUGCAGAAUUCAGUGAAUCAUCGAAUCUUUGAACGCACAUUGCGCCCGCCAGCAUUCUGGCGGGCAUGCCUGUUCGAGCGUCAUUUCAACCCUCAAGCUCUGCUUGGUGUUGGGGCCCUACGGUUGACGUAGGCCCUUAAAGGUAGUGGCGGACCCUCUCGGAGCCUCCUUUGCGUAGUAACUAACGUCUCGCAUUGGGAUUCGGAGGGACUCUUGCCGUAAAACCCCCAAAUUUUCUAAUGGUUGACCUCGGAUCAGGUAGGAAUACCCGCUGAACUUAAGCAUAUCAAUAAGCGGAGGA